GCCUAGGUGGGAUUAGCUAGUUGGUGAGGUAAGGGCUCACCAAGGCGACGAUCCCUAGCUGGUCUGAGAGGAUGAUCAGCCACACUGGAACUGAGACACGGUCCAGACUCCUACGGGAGGCAGCAGUGGGGAAUAUUGCACAAUGGGCGCAAGCCUGAUGCAGCCAUGCCGCGUGUGUGAAGAAGGCCUUCGGGUUGUAAAGCACUUUCAGUCGUGAGGAAGGUAGUGUAGUUAAUAGCUGCAUUAUUUGACGUUAGCGACAGAAGAAGCACCGGCUAACUCCGUGCCAGCAGCCGCGGUAAUACGGAGGGUGCGAGCGUUAAUCGGAAUUACUGGGCGUAAAGCGCAUGCAGGUGGUUUGUUAAGUCAGAUGUGAAAGCCCGGGGCUCAACCUCGGAAUUGCAUUUGAAACUGGCAGACUAGAGUACUGUAGAGGGGGGUAGAAUUUCAGGUGUAGCGGUGAAAUGCGUAGAGAUCUGAAGGAAUACCGGUGGCGAAGGCGGCCCCCUGGACAGAUACUGACACUCAGAUGCGAAAGCGUGGGGAGCAAACAGGAUUAGAUACCCUGGUAGUCCACGCCGUAAACGAUGUCUACUUGGAGGUUGUGGCCUUGAGCCGUGGCUUUCGGAGCUAACGCGUUAAGUAGACCGCCUGGGGAGUACGGUCGCAAGAUUAAAACUCAAAUGAAUUGACGGGGGCCCGCACAAGCGGUGGAGCAUGUGGUUUAAUUCGAUGCAACGCGAAGAACCUUACCUACUCUUGACAUCCAGAGAACUUUCCAGAGAUGGAUUGGUGCCUUCGGGAACUCUGAGACAGGUGCUGCAUGGCUGUCGUCAGCUCGUGUUGU
rnacentral:rRNA from 1 species